AACGCGAGUUAUUUCGUAGCCGAUAUCAUAGAUUAGUAUAUGUUAUUAACUGUAAGUCGACAUCUAACGUCAAGUAAUGGAACUAUCAGGGGGCCUAGCCAAAACGCAUUUCGAAAAAAGAUAUCGCUAACGAAUCGAUAAAAAAUGUAUGGGAAUGACAGGUACCGUAGAUGAGUUUGUCGAAAAAUAUUAACGAAUACAAAAAUGUUAGCCAAGUUGCAAUGUUGUAACGAAACGCAAAACUUUCGUUACUGGAAUUCGAUAUCUGUCAUACAUUGCCUAGCCGAGUGACACUUUUGACAUGCGAAAUCGAAUCGUUAUCGCCUCCUAGGUGUCGAUACGUAGCGAGAGCUAUCCCCUUGCAGAUAACUUAUCGAAGCACAAGAAAAUGCCGUAUAAUAGUGUUUGUAAAUUAGAAUUUGUAGUAAAAAGCAUACUUUAACAUUAUUGUGGGCGGCGAACAACGCGGAAGUCUCGCUUAGACGCAGGCGCCGUCUGAAAAAUCGCCUAUUGGAACUGCUUAGGAAAGGACUGCCCUUAGCUGGUGGCUGGUGGCUUUAUGCUACGGGGUCAGAUCAAAGGAUAGUGGGCCGUACGCAGCAUUUCACCCAAAGGAUCCAAUGUGACCGAGGCGCUGAAUAUCUACCUAUCUAUAUUGACAGUGUCAUGGAAAAAUGGAUUAUGCACCCACAAAUGCAACACGAAACAACGUCCCUGCAAAGGUAAGAGUGAGCCAAUAACUUAUCCCCACAUACCUAAUAAGUAUAUAAAAUAUGUAAUUGAUGCUAAAAUAACUUCUUAUGUGUUCCUGUUACGUCUUCAAAUAUAAACCGAUGAAUGGUGUAGAUUAAAUUUGGUACCCAUAUGCACACAGGCAAGCACUUGUUUCUCAAUAGGAAAGUGAAUUGAUUGUGUAAAGGCAAAGGUAUAUAGGUAAAGGCUUUACAAAUAUAGAUAAAGACUCGGGAACAAAUGUUCUUCACACAAAUAAAUGCCCUUCCCGGGAAGCAAAACCAUAACCUUCAUAGGCAAGGUCACUAACGACUAGCAAUAUUGUAGUGUCAUCCCAUUUUCUUAAAUUGAUUUGAAAGAGACGAGACUACAGUGUUGCUACUUUUUGAUUUCUACAAUUUCUUGUCGAACUGUACAGUAAGCUCAAGAAGACUUGUGUUGUGGGUACUUAGGGUACUUAGAUAACUAUAUAUAGAUGGUCAAACCAAUUUGUCACUCAGUAAGAACCAGGAAAACUAUACUCAUACUUUUGGGUGCUAGUACUAGUAUAUGACAAAGCUAGUAUGAUUCUCUCUGUCUUUGUUUGAAAUGAGACAGUCCUUUGACAAACUAUACUUAAAUACAUAGACAACACCCAUGACUCAGGUACAAAAUAUCUGUGCUCAUUACACAAACAAAUUUCCUUACCGGGGAUUCAAACUCAGGAUUAAUAUCAGAUUAACCGGCAGGGUCACUAGUCACUACCCACUAGGCCAGACCGGCUGUUGUUAUGCAUAUAAAUUAUCAACCAUAUUAAUGAAACUUUUCAUAUUAUGAAACAUAUUGUAUAUGACUUCUUUUGGCAGGCGCAGGUACAGUCAGCUGCAGAGAAAUGGUACCACUCCUGCAUACAAACUUCUAUGUAGCGGUGGUACCUUUUCUCUGCAGCUGACUGUACCUACACACUAUAUAAAAAUAUAUGUACUUACACAAAACAUUUAGUUUUUUUUUGUCAUAUGACUGGUAGAGAAUAGAUAAAUAUUAUAACCAAAUGUUACAGAGUUUUUUGAAAAACUAAGCAUUCAUUUUGUUUCAGGUGACUUGGAUAUUCAUUGCAGCCUUGACAUAUUUAUGGUGCUCCAAAGCCAGGGUCAAGGGAAGAAACUAUGACACAUGUACAACCACAAAAAUAUAUUGAGUGUUGUUUUACUAUUUUAAAACACUACAUAAUAUAUGUGCAAACAAGAAAAGAAUGCUUGGCUACUGAUUUUAUGCUGCCGGCAAAAAAUACCUGCUGUAUCUUUCAUUAAUAGAUUUCCAAUAAAAUAAAUUAACUUUUAACCCAAUCAUUGUUUCAUUCAUUUAUUUAUGGUGGUUACCACCUUAACCUUUGGUAUGCUUAGGAGCAGAUCUGCUCCCAUGUACUUACCUAUAUUCAACUUUAAAAAAUGCAUUAAUUUUGACGACCGGUCUGACCUAGUGGGUAGUGACCCUGCCUGCUAAGCCGAUGGUCCUAGGUUCGAAUCCCAGUAAGGGCAUUUAUUUGUGUGGUGAACACUAAUAUUUGUUCCUGAGUCAUGGGUGUUUUCUAUGUAUAUAAGUAUGUAUUUAUCUAUAUAAGUAUGUGUCGUUGCCUAGCACCCAUAGUACAAGCUUUGCUUAGUUUGGGGCUAGGUUGAUCUGUGUAAGAU